rnacentral:rRNA from 1 species
AUUGAACGCUGGCGGCAGGCCUAACACAUGCAAGUCGAACGGUAACAGAAAGCAGCUUGCUGCUUUGCUGACGAGUGGCGGACGGGUGAGUAAUGUCUGGGAAACUGCCUGAUGGAGGGGGAUAACUACUGGAAACGGUAGCUACUACCGCAUAACGUCGCAAGCCCAAAGAGGGGGACCUUCGGGCCUCUUGCCAUCUGCUGUGCCCAGAUGGGAUUAGCUAGUAGGUGGGGUAACGGCUCACCUAGGCGACGAUCCCUAGCUGGUCUGAGAGGAUGACCAGCCACACUGGAACUGAGACACGGUCCAGACUCCUACGGGAGGCAGCAGUGGGGAAUAUUGCACAAUGGGCGCAAGCCUGAUGCAGCCAUGCCGCGUGUAUGAAGAAGGCCUUCGGGUUGUAAAGUACUUUCAGCGGGGAGGAAGGGAGUAAAGUUAAUACCUUUGCUAAUUGACGUUACCCGCAGAAGAAGCACCGGCUAACUCCGUG